AAGCUCGUAGUUGAAUUUCGGGGUUCACCCAUUGGUCAGGCUUAAUUGUCUGUACUGGUGAGAUGAGUCUCUACCUUCUGAGGAACUUUCAUGCCAUUUAUUUGGUGUGGUUGGAAAUCAGGACUGUUACUUUGAAAAAAUUAGAGUGUUUAAAGCAGGCUAACGUCUGAAUACAUUAGCAUGGAAUAAUGAAAUAGGACGGAUUGAUUCUAUUUCGUUGGUUUCUAGGGUCACCGUAAUGAUUAAUAGGGAUAGUUGGG
rnacentral:rRNA from 1 species